CAUCAGCCUCAGUUUCAUCCAGUUCACCAGAACCAUCAAACUAUGCAUCAGAGUCAGCAUGCAGGCCCCUAUUCUCACAACAAUCACUGUGGUCCUUCCUCACACUUACCUGAAAUUUCUCAUGCUCACCAGUCACCAACAAUAUCUCAACAGUUGCCCUGCUUACAACCACUCACAAGUGGCCAUGUUGGUGGACGCCUGCAUAUACUGCCAUCGAGUCCUGCAAAGUUUUGUGAUGAAUGUGGGGCCCCAUUUCUGAGAGAAGCAUCUAAAUUUUGCUCCGAGUGUGGUUCAAAGAGGUUUGGAAUAUGAUAUUGAGUGUUCAAACUUCGAAGUGCAGCCAUAUUCGUGAGUUGGGUUUGUCCUCACCAUUCGUCCUAGUUCUGAUCAAAUGUCUUCAUAGUUCAUGUAUAAAUUAGCUUUCCUAAGCAUUUUCACAUUUUUGGGAAAUGCAUUUAAUCAUGUAAAUAGUAAGAGAAAAUUGUUUGCAUUA